rnacentral:lncRNA from 1 species
CAGCCCUGUGUUGUUCAACAUCAUGGUAAAUGAGGUGUUUAGGAGGGUAAGCCCAGACAUAGAGGUCUCACUAUAUGCAGAUGAUGGGGCAUUGUGGAGGAGGGGAAGGAACAUUAAUUUUAUAGUCAGUAAGAUCCAACAAGCAAUUGAGGCAGUUGUAGGAUGGGCUGGUGACUGGGGAUUCAGAUUCUCAGUGGCAAAAACUUACUGUGAAUUCUUCACAAAAAGGACAGUUGCUGAUAAUGUUAAACUGUACAUGUAUGGGGAACCACUUGAACGAGUUGAGGUUGCCAGGUAUCUAGGGCUUUGGUUUGACAGAAGGCUCACAUGGAAAGCACAUAUUGACAAAUUGGAGACAAAGUGCAAGAGAGUAUUAAAUGUUAUGCGAUGUCUGACAGGGAUGGAAUGGGGGGCAAGCCGAUCCUCCUUAAUGACACUAUAUUAUGCCCUCCUGCGUUCAGCAAUAGAUUAUGGUAGCUUUGUCUAUGGAUCUGCGUCUGAUUCUCGACUCAUGAAGCUGGAGAGAAUACAGUCACGAGCGCUGAGGCUUUGUUGUGGAGCACUUCAAUCCUCCCCAAUAGUGAGUUUACAUGUUGAGCUGGGGGAAAUGCCUUUAGCAAUCAGAAGGAAAAAGCUGUCCCUAGCCUACUGGUCAAACCCGGAAGGCCACAAUCGAGGGAAUCCUGCAAAAAGAGUGAUAGAGCCAUGCUGGGAGUACGAGGCCAAAAAAGGCAAGGGGUUUGGGUGGAGGGUGAGGGAAUGGGUACAGGAAGCGGGGUUGAAAGAGGGAAUGGUUAGUCCGACAGUAGCCAUGUCACCAGUGCCACCAUGGUUGUUCCCCAUGCCUAUAGUGGACAUGAGCAUAUUGAAAUAUGCCCAGGAAGAACAGGAGAAGCAGUACGUGGCUGGGUACGCACUAGACCACAUUGGGUGUACAUAUGCUAGACCUGUCCAGAUAUAUACUGAUGGAUCAAAGGACCCAGAAUCUGGGAAAACUGCAGCUGCCAUGGUUGUGAAGGGGAUGGGUGUCUGUGCCUCCUGGAGGCUGACAGAUGAGGUGUCUGUGUACACCACAGAGCUAAUUGCCAUCAUUAAAGCACUAGAGUGGGUUGAGGAGACUGGGCAAGAGGAGGGGCUUAUUUGCUCUGACUCUGCAGCAGUGUUGGGCAGUAUACAGUCAUUUAGAUCCUGUAGAAUGGAU